rnacentral:misc_RNA from 1 species
AUCUCGCCGUCAAGUUCCCCACCGACCUUGGGGUCGGUACAGUCAGGGGAGAACAGACUGUGGCCAGAGAAUGCUAUGUUGCCUCACUUAAAGAAGUUAAGCUUAAGGAGACCAUGAUCAUUGAAGGACUUGACGUCCGAGUUGAGGACGAGCUGGUCAGAGGGGAGCCUGUGGAGGAGCUCAUUGAGGUUCCUAUCGACCCUGCCAACUCGAUGAAAACUGCCAAAAUCGGCAGCCAACUAUCCCCCAAGCAAAGGUCGACCUUACUGCCCUCCUGAUCGAGCACAACGAUGUAUUUGCCUAGACCCACUCAGACAUG